rnacentral:rRNA from 1 species
CGGCGCAUUAGCUAGUUGGUGGGGUAAUGGCUCACCAAGGCGACGAUGCGUAGCCGACCUGAGAGGGUGAUCGGCCACACUGGGACUGAGACACGGCCCAGACUCCUACGGGAGGCAGCAGUAGGGAAUCUUCCGCAAUGGACGAAAGUCUGACGGAGCAACGCCGCGUGAGUGAUGAAGGUUUUCGGAUCGUAAAGCUCUGUUGUUAGGGAAGAACAAGUGCGAGAGUAACUGCUCGCACCUUGACGGUACCUAACCAGAAAGCCACGGCUAACUACGUGCCAGCAGCCGCGGUAAUACGUAGGUGGCAAGCGUUGUCCGGAAUUAUUGGGCGUAAAGGGCUCGCAGGCGGUUUCUUAAGUCUGAUGUGAAAGCCCNNGGCUCAACCGGGGAGGGUCAUUGGAAACUGGGAAACUUGAGUGCAGAAGACGAGAGUGGAAUUCCACGUGUAGCGGUGAAUGCGUAGAGAUGUGGAGGAACACCAGUCGCGAAGGCGACUCUCUGGUCUGUACUGACGCUGAGGAGCGAAGCGUGGGAGCGAACAGGAUAGAUACCCUNGUAGUCACGCCGUAAAAUGAGUGCAAGUGUUAGGGGGUUCCGCCCCUA